rnacentral:snoRNA from 1 species
CCGCCCAUUUGCCUCCCAAAUACUGAUUUUUAUUCCUAGUACUUUGGGACUUCCUAUAUUGGCGGCAUAGUAAUCCAAUCAGCUGUUAUAAUAUAUGC